UAAAUAAACUAAAUAACUACCUGUAUAACUUCAAGAAUAUGGCUUGAGGGUCUCUACCAGGAACCAUAAAAUCCUGAUUACAGAAAAUGAAUUUAUUCGU
rnacentral:ncRNA from 2 species